UGCAAGUCGAACGGAAAGGCCCUUCGGGGUACUCGAGUGGCGAACGGGUGAGUAACACGUGGGUGAUCUGCCCUGCACUUUGGGAUAAGCCUGGGAAACUGGGUCUAAUACCGAAUACACCCUGCUGGUCGCAUGGCCUGGUGGGGGAAAGCUUUUGCGGUGUGGGAUGGGCCCGCGGCCUAUCAGCUUGUUGGUGGGGUGAUGGCCUACCAAGGCGACGACGGGUAGCCGGCCUGAGAGGGUGACCGGCCACACUGGGACUGAGAUACGGCCCAGACUCCUACGGGAGGCAGCAGUGGGGAAUAUUGCACAAUGGGCGCAAGCCUGAUGCAGCGACGCCGCGUGGGGGAUGACGGCCUUCGGGUUGUAAACUCCUUUCGCCAGGGACGAAGCGCAAGUGACGGUACCUGGAGAAGAAGGACCGGCCAACUACG
rnacentral:rRNA from 1 species